rnacentral:tRNA from 1 species
GGUAGAAUGGCCGAGUGUUAGCGGCAGGCUGUAAUCCUGUUAAUAUAGGUUUAGAUCCUGUUUCUUC